UACGAGGGGAGCGAGCGUUGUUCGGAAUUAUUGGGCGUAAAGGGUGCGUAGGCGGUUCCGCAAGUCCUGUGUGAAAUCUUCGGGCUCAACUCGAAGUCUGCACGGGAAACUGCGGGGCUUGAGUGUGGGAGAGGUGAGUGGAAUUCUCGGUGUAGCGGUGAAAUGCGUAGAUAUCGGGAGGAACACCUGUGGCGAAAGCGGCUCACUGGACCAUAACUGACGCUGAUGCACGAAAGCGUGGGGAGCAAACAGG
rnacentral:rRNA from 1 species